rnacentral:rRNA from 1 species
CCAGACUCCUACGGGAGGCAGCAGUCGGGAAUAUUGCGCAAUGGAGGAAACUCUGACGCAGUGACGCCGCGUAUAGGAAGAAGGUUUUCGGAUUGUAAACUAUUGUCGUGAGGGAAGAAAUUGACAGUACCUCAGGAGGAAGCUCCGGCUAACUAUGUGCCAGCAGCCGCGGUAAUACAUAGGGAGCAAGCGUUAUCCGGAUUUAUUGGGUGUAAAGGGUGCGUAGACGGGAAAUUAAGUUAGUUGUGAAAUCCCUCGGCUUAACUGAGGAACUGCAACUAAAACUGAUUUUCUUGAGUACUGGAGAGGAAAGUGGAAUUCCUAGUGUAGCGGUGAAAUGCGUAGAUAUUAGGAGGAACACCAGUGGCGAAGGCGACUUUCUGGACAGUAACUGACGUUGAGGCACGAAAGUGUGGGGAGCAAACAGGAUUAGAUACCCGAGUA